GCCCCUGUAGUUCAACGGAUAGAACGGAAGUUUCCUAAACUUUAAAUACGUGUUCGAUUCACGUCGGGGGUA
rnacentral:tRNA from 1 species